GGAUGCGAUCAUACCAGCACUAAAGCACCGGAUCCCAUCAGAACUCCGAAGUUAAGCGUGCUUGGGCGCGAGUAGUACUAGGAUGGGUGACCUCCUGGGAAGUCCUCAUGUUGCAUUCC
rnacentral:rRNA from 2 species